CGACUGUUCGAAUCAUGACUCGUUUAAGUUCGUGUUUCACUGCAUCAGACACAUGCACCAUGAUUCUAGUGUCUGCCUCUAAAUGUGAACUUGGUGCUAAACUUGAAAUACAUCACGUGGUGGAUAAGAUAGAAUGUCCUGACCAUUUGUUGCUGUAACUACCAUACACAUCCAAGACUUCAUCCACUCGUAUUACAGUUUCAAGGUAUUUUAUUAAGGAAAGGACAUAAUACUCAAUCAGCAUACUCGUUAGGCCGCAAUUCACAAUCGGAGAGCUGAUUUUCCACAUUUACAAAGACUGUGGUAUUG
rnacentral:lncRNA from 1 species